rnacentral:rRNA from 1 species
UCUACGGGAGGCAGCAGUGAGGAAUAUUGGUCAAUGGCCGGAAGGCUGAACCAGCCAUGCCGCGUGAAGGUCAGUGCCCUAUGGGCGUUAAACUUCUUUUGUGCGGGAGCAAUAAUGGUCACGUGUGGCCAGACGAGAGUACCGUACGAAUAAGCAUCGGCUAACUCCGUGCCAGCAGCCGCGGUAAUACGGGGGAUGCAAGCGUUAUCCGGAUUUUUUGGGUUUAAAGGGUGCGUAGGCUGUGAGGUAAGUCAGCGGUGAAAUGCCCCCGCUCAACGGGGUGAAGUGCCAUUGAUACUGCCUUGCUGGAAUGCGGAUGCCGUGGGAGGAAUGUGUGGUGUAGCGGUGAAAUGCAUAGAUAUCACACAGAACACCGAUUGCGAAGGCAUCUCACGAAUCCGCGAUUGACGCUGAUGCACGAAAGCGUGGGUAUCAAACAGGAUUAGAGACCCUAGUAGUC